rnacentral:misc_RNA from 1 species
AAGUCGUAACAAGGUUUCCGUAGGUGAACCUGCGGAAGGAUCAUUAAAACGUAUCCAACGUUAACCAACUGUGAACUUGUUUUUUCCCUCCCUCAGAUGGCUAAUAGUCGAACCAUGAAGCGGGUUGAUAGGAUUGGCUUUUUGGCUGAUCCCCGUCGAGUGGCCACUGUGGUCGAAAGACUGCGAGACAUACCGUCCUCUGAGGCUAAGUCUUCCCCUCCACGUGAUCUCUAUCUUGAUCGGUUGAGGAAGGCGCAACCUUUUUUUUUGUUUUUAUUCAACAAAUCCACCAUUUUCACCCCCUUUUUGCUAGUUGAUUUACAUACCGUUGAUGUUCUGUGAAAGCAGUUCUGUCACACGUUUCUUAAUUGAAUCGUAAAAUACAACUCUUAGCAAUGGAUAUCUAGGUUCUC